UUUAAAGGGUCCGUAGGUGGAUAAUUAAGUCAGAGGUGAAAUCUUGCAGCUCAACUGUAAAAUUGCCUUUGAUACUGGCUAUCUUGAGUUAUUAUGAAGUAGUUAGAAUAUGUAGUGUAGCGGUGAAAUGCAUAGAUAUUACAUAGAAUACCAAUUGCGAAGGCAGAUUACUAAUAAUCAACUGACACUGAUGGACGAAAGCGUGGGUAGCGAACAGGAUUAGAUACCCUGGUAGUCCACGCCGUAAACGAUGAUUACUCGUUUUCGGCGAUAUACAGUCGGAGACUAAGCGAAAGUGAUAAGUAAUCCACCUGGGGAGUACGAUCGCAAGGUUGAAACUCAAAGGAAUUGACGGGGGCCCGCACAAGCGGUGGAGCAUGUGGUUUAAUUCGAAGCAACGCGCAGAACCUUACCAACCCUUGACAUCCUGUGCUAACUCCAGAGAUGGAGUGUCCACUUCGGUGGCGCAGUGACAGGUGCUGCAUGGCU
rnacentral:rRNA from 1 species